rnacentral:rRNA from 1 species
ACUCCUACGGGAGGCAGCAGUGGGAAUCUUGCGCAAUGGGCGAAAGCCUGACGCAGCAACGCCGCGUGGGGGAUGAAGGCUCUCGGGUCGUAAACCCUUUCAGGAGGGACGAAAAUGACGGUACCUCCAGAAGAAGCCCCGGCCAACUACGUGCCAGCAGCCGCGGUAACACGUAGGGGCGAGCGUUGUCCGGAUUUAUUGGGCGUAAAGAGCUCGUAGGCCGCUUGGUAAGUCGGUGUGAAAUUUCGAGGCUCAACCUCGGAACGCCACUCGAUACUGCCAUGGCUAGAGUACGGUAGACGAGCGUGGAAUUCCUGGUGUAGCGGUGAAAUGCGCAGAUAUCAGGAGGAACACCAACGGCGAAGGCAGCGCUCUGGGCCGAUACUGACGCUGAGGAGCGAAAGCAUGGGGAGCAAACAGGAUUAGAUACCCUGGUAGGCACUGCU